GUGACCUCAAAUCAGGUAGGACUACCCGCUGAACUUAAGCAUAUCAAUAAGCGGAGGAAAAGAAACUAACAAGGAUUCCCCUAGUAACUGCGAGUGAAGCGGGAAAAGCUCAAAUUUAAAAUCUGGCAGUCUUUGGCUGUCCGAGUUGUAAUCUAGAGAAGUGUUAUCCGCGCUGGACCGUGUACAAGUCUCCUGGAAUGGAGCGUCAUAGAGGGUGAGAAUCCCGUCUUUGACACGGACUACCAGGGCUUUGUGAUGCGCUCUCAAAGAGUCGAGUUGUUUGGGAAUGCAGCUCAAAAUGGGUGGUAAAUUCCAUCUAAAGCUAAAUAUUGGCGAGAGACCGAUAGCGAACAAGUACCGUGAGGGAAAGAUGAAAAGAACUUUGGAAAGAGAGUUAAACAGUACGUGAAAUUGCUGAAAGGGAAACGCUUGAAGUCAGUCGCGUCGUCCAGGGAUCAACCUUGCUUUUGCUUGGUGCACUUUCUGGUUGACGGGUCAGCAUCAAUUUUGACCAUUGGAAAAAGAUUAAGGGAAUGUGACAUCUUUGGAUGUGUUAUAGCCCUUGGUUGUAUACGAUGGUUGGGAUUGAGGAACUCAGCACGCCGCAAGGCCGGGUUUUUAACCACGUACGUGCUUAGGAUGUUGGCAUAAUGGCUUUAAUCGACCCGUC
rnacentral:rRNA from 1 species